GAACAUAAGAGUUUGAUCCUGGCUCAGAUUGAACGCUGGCGGCAUGCUUUACACAUGCAAGUCGGACGGCAGCACAGGGAAGCUUGCUUCUCGGGUGGCGAGUGGCGAACGGGUGAGUAACAUAUCGGAACGUACCGGGUAGCGGGGGAUAACUGAUCGAAAGAUCAGCUAAUACCGCAUACGUCUUGAGAGGGAAAGCAGGGGACCUUCGGGCCUUGCGCUAUCCGAGCGGCCGAUAUCUGAUUAGCUGGUUGGCGGGGUAAAGGCCCACCAAGGCGACGAUCAGUAGCGGGUCUGAGAGGAUGAUCCGCCACACUGGGACUGAGACACGGCCCAGACUCCUACGGGAGGCAGCAGUGGGGAAUUUUGGACAAUGGGCGCAAGCCUGAUCCAGCCAUGCCGCGUGUCUGAAGAAGGCCUUCGGGUUGUAAAGGACUUUUGUCAGGGAAGAAAAGGCCGUUGCCAAUAUCGGCGGCCGAUGACGGUACCUGAAGAAUAAGCACCGGCUAACUACGUGCCAGCAGCCGCGGUAAUACGUAGGGUGCGAGCGUUAAUCGGAAUUACUGGGCGUAAAGCGGGCGCAGACGGUUACUUAAGCAGGAUGUGAAAUCCCCGGGCUCAACCCGGGAACUGCGUUCUGAACUGGGUGACUCGAGUGUGUCAGAGGGAGGUGGAAUUCCACGUGUAGCAGUGAAAUGCGUAGAGAUGUGGAGGAAUACCGAUGGCGAAGGCAGCCUCCUGGGAUAACACUGACGUUCAUGUCCGAAAGCGUGGGUAGCAAACAGGAUUAGAUACCCUGGUAGUCCACGCCCUAAACGAUGUCAAUUAGCUGUUGGGCAACUUGAUUGCUUGGUAGCGUAGCUAACGCGUGAAAUUGACCGCCUGGGGAGUACGGUCGCAAGAUUAAAACUCAAAGGAAUUGACGGGGACCCGCACAAGCGGUGGAUGAUGUGGAUUAAUUCGAUGCAACGCGAAGAACCUUACCUGGUUUUGACAUGUGCGGAAUCCUCCGGAGACGGAGGAGUGCCUUCGGGAGCCGUAACACAGGUGCUGCAUGGCUGUCGUCAGCUCGUGUCGUGAGAUGUUGGGUUAAGUCCCGCAACGAGCGCAACCCUUGUCAUUAGUUGCCAUCAUUCGGUUGGGCACUCUAAUGAGACUGCCGGUGACAAGCCGGAGGAAGGUGGGGAUGACGUCAAGUCCUCAUGGCCCUUAUGACCAGGGCUUCACACGUCAUACAAUGGUCGGUACAGAGGGUAGCCAAGCCGCGAGGCGGAGCCAAUCUCACAAAACCGAUCGUAGUCCGGAUUGCACUCUGCAACUCGAGUGCAUGAAGUCGGAAUCGCUAGUAAUCGCAGGUCAGCAUACUGCGGUGAAUACGUUCCCGGGUCUUGUACACACCGCCCGUCACACCAUGGGAGUGGGGGAUACCAGAAGUAGGUAGGGUAACCGCAAGAAGCCCGCUUACCACGGUAUGCUUCAUGACUGGGGUGAAGUCGUAACAAGGUAGCCGUAGGGGAACCUGCGGCUGGAUCACCUCCUUU
rnacentral:rRNA from 1 species